AUUGAACGCUGGCGGCAGGCCUAACACAUGCAAGUCGAACGAGUGGCGGACGGGUGAGUAAUGUCUGGGAAACUGCCCGAUGGAGGGGGAUAACUACUGGAAACGGUAGCUAAUACCGCAUACCAUCGGAUGUGCCCAGAUGGGAUUAGCUAGUAGGUGGGGUAAUGGCUCACCUAGGCGACGAUCCCUAGCUGGUCUGAAAGGAUGACCAGCCAACCUGUAACUGAGGCACGGUCCAGACUCCUACGGGAGGCAGCAGUGGGGAAUAUUGCACAAUGGUCGCAAUCCUGAUGCAGCCAUGCCGCGUGUAUGAAGAAGGCCUUCGGGUUGUAAAGUACUUUCAGCGUUGAGGCGUUACCCGCAGAAGAAGCACCGGCUAACUCCGUGCCAGCAGCCGCGGUAAUUC
rnacentral:rRNA from 1 species